ensembl:lncRNA
GCCUGCCUGCUCCGUGCCGGUCUCUGAGCAGUAAGGGUGGGGGUGGGGGAAUGUGGUUAUCCCGUCCCAGGAAGCAGAGAUUCUUGGUGAGUCUUCCUAGUGCGAUCUUCUUCUCAACCCUGUCUGCUCUCAACCGCAAGUCCUGGCAGCUCGGCCUCCUCGGACGUAGAAACCUUUCCCCAAAUCUCCCUGGGAGCGAAUGACUUCAAACCGUUUGAGAACGAAAACACCUUUCUCAUUUGGAAACAAACGUUUGCCGCAGUCUUAUCGUUUAAGUAACGCCUUAUCCCUCCGUCGCUGCGUCCCAGCCUGGAAGUCCUGGUCUGUGGUGGGCACCAGAGAGCGAUUCCCAAGGUGCGGCGGGACCUUUGCUCCGUCACUGCGCGACCGGGUCUGCGGGCCUAGCCGUCCACUUGCCUUUGGUUCCCUGAAGCUCCGGGGGCACCCAACAAUUACUACUGCCCUGGCGACAGUCCCAGCUUGCCUGACCCUGAGAAGAUGUUGCGGGGUGGGGGCAUUAGGACACCUCCAUUCCUGACCUCCUGGAGCACUGACUGCCUUUUGUGGGGGAUUGAAAAAGACUUCUGGGAAGAGCUGGUGCUGAGUCCUCUGUGAUCCCUGGAGAGAUGCCCUUUCAACCCUCCAUCUCUGCUAAAUGCCUUUUGGAUCCCAGCAGUGGAGCCCAUUGGUUGGUUGGAUAGUCAGAGCAGACUAUUACUGACGCCUAUUAAGGCUGACUGAAAGAAUUCUAGCCAAAUCUUACAGGUUAGAAGAGAAAUGACAGCUCCUCCCAAAGAGAGAUGGUGCCUGGAGCAUACACACAGAGAGACACUGGGAAAAUACCCUUGUGCUGGAGCGACAGGGUGAAAACAUCUGUGUUCCUGAGCUGCUUAAGAAGAUGAAGUUAACAGGGAGAAGGGAUGGGGCGGGGGAGGUGGGAGGAGCAGGGAAUGGUGCUGUCGAUGGGCGUACAUGUUUAGAGCAGAUGGAAAAUGUACCCAUCCAUAACUGGAGAUGUAAGCCAAUUGUAAUUAAGUUUACAACGGAGGCAGAGGGAGAGGAGAGGUACAAAGGAGACUCAAUGAUGGAGAAUUCCAGUGAAAAACCUGGAGAUUAGCUAAAGGAGGAGAAACAUCUUAAAACACCAAAGUGGGAUUUACUCCUGAGAGCUAGAGGAGAAGGAUAUUCAGAGUAGUCCAUGAUUCUAACGAAUUCACUAUCCGCCUGCCAGGGGGUGAGGGUCACAGUCUCAGUUGGUUGGUCAUCCUUCUUACCCCCAGGUUUGCUUCUAAGCCGAACAGCAUGCCUUUCUCCCCGCCUACCUGCCUCAAAACCUGUCAAGCUACUUUUUUCCCCUUUUGCUUCUAAAAUGCUGCUUCCUAGAAGAUGCCUGCUGGGUUGCUUGAGCUGGAGAUUCCGACCUUGGCUUGUUUUAACCUGGACUUCCAACAGUUUCUCCUUUCCCAAUACCCUCAAGCUUUGCCCCAGGUACCCAUGUCUUAGUGCCAAAAGUCAUUUCUUUUUUUAUCCUUGGCUGAUGGUGUGUCAGCUGGUAAACUCUCCUUGCCCUUUAGAACUCUCCAAAUUAUCUCCAGGCAUCUGAAUCCUUGGGGGAUUUGCAGAUCAUAUAUAUGGAUGACACCAUGCUAAGAGGAAUAGCUACUGUGAUUGAUGAGAGGAUCAAGCUUUAAAAUGAAUCCCAUAAGCUGAAAGAUGGUCUAAAAUCAAUACUGUCAGAUGUGCCAGGAAUAAAUGUGAAACACUGCAUUUGGGUCCAAUAAUCAAUUGUACAAGUAUACAAUGGAAAGACUUACAGAACAACAGUUUAUGAAAAAACAAAACAAAACAUUUUUUGGUGACAACUGGUUCAAUAAGACAAGAAUGAACCUGUGUUCUUAACAAGGGAAAGGUAGGACUGAACAAAUCUUUUUUAUUGUUUUUGAGUAUAAUUGUCAGCUGAUCAAGCACAGAGUUCCAGUAGGCUGUGCAGAACAAUCUUGUUUUAUUCGUUUCUGUUUUAAUUUAAUUUCAGUUUCAAAUGCCCUAUUGCAAUCUAUUCAGGGUCCACCUUGGCAAUCAUCAGUGGCUCCCGUAGCCUGUUCACCUGAUUCCAGUAGCCUCUGUGUUUUGAAUCUCACACAAGCCCACUUGGCUGCCGUGCUGCUGGCCUGUUGGAGAGUCCCCCACUUCCCAAGGAGAGAUGCUUCUUUCCAAACAGGCCAGUCUUCUCACUGUUCCUCAUACGCCCCACGGUCGUUGGUUCAUUUGUUCAUUUCUUCACAGAUCCGUUGACCAUCCACUAUGUGGCAGGCACUAUUCCAGGCACUGGGGCUUCAGUGGUGAGCAAGAUAGGGUCCUUGCCCUCAUCAAGCUUAGGCUCUCAUGGGGGUAGGCAGACCCUAAAGAAACACUUGAAAAAUGUCAGAUAAUAAAAAGGUAUGAAAAGCUAUUAGGUAGUUGAAAAGCCUUCCGGCUUCUGCUUAGACUUCUCAGAAUGUUACCUCCUGCUUCCUAAACCGGCUCAAAUUCCACCUUCCCCUCAGAGGCAGAGAACUCCUCCAAGCUCUCUCUGCCCUGGGGUUUGUGACACAUAAUUUAGCACUCAACUGCUCUCUAAGUGUUUCCCCCAAUGCUAAUUUUGCCUCCCAGCAGGCUACAGGAGCUGGCAAACUCUUUGAAGUUAUAGGAUGUGCCUUCAAUUUAAACAUAUUCAGUCAAUCUCUCCCUAGAAUGCUCUUUAAAAGGAAAUGAAAAGCAUAGUUGAAACAUGACUUGAAGUUUUUAAGCUGAUUCCCAGAUAACAAGAGAACUUCUUCCAGUGCCUCCGAAAUCCUCUAGAAAAAGAAUGCAAAGUUAGGACAAUAGUUUGUUUAUUUGUUGAACUUAACCUCCUCCAAAGAGUCCUAGACUCUGUAAGGAGAUCUUUAAAGCAACAAACAUACCUUAACCGCGUAGCAGCAAGAUUAGAGCGAACAGCAGCAGGGAAACAUCCAACAAGCUCAGAGGGAGGAAAGGAAAGGGCAGACAAUGGCAAAUCCAGAAAAAUGAUCAGCCCCAAAUUGAGCCCAAAUGACAUUCUUUUGGGCCCCUCACACUCUGUACAAUAAAAGCGGGCCAAGAAAAGCCAGAAACAAUCCUAAUGGCCAUCAACAGAGGACUGGUCAAAGAAAUGACAGCUUCAUAUGGUCGACUGGCACGCGGAAAGAGUAAGGUAGGUACAGCUAUACACACUGACGGAGACAGAUGGCCACCGCGUGGUUUCAAAAGCAAGUCUCAGAACAAUACAGACAAUAGGAUCCUUUUCAUUUAAAAACUAUAUUCAUAUGUGUGUAGAAAAAUGUAUGUAAGGAUAUACACUAAAUUGUUAACAAUGGUAUUUCUGGGAAUGGGGUUAUAGGCAAUGGGGUGGGGGAGACAGGCAGAGGAAUUUAAUAAUUUAUUUUUACUUUAUAACUUCUAAACUGUUGUAUAUCCUGUACCUAAUUAUAUACGUAUUUUGAGAAUGAGCAUUUAUUGCUUUAAUAAAACAACAAAUAGUCAACAAAAGCAGCCAGAGUUUUCAUUAAUUUCUUUUGGAGAAGACACACAUGUUGUAAAGAACAAGGUCAUUCCUAAUGUCUGGUUUGCUCCUUGGAGAAUUAUGGAUGCCCAGAGUGGUUCCUGGAUUUGUAUAGGUG